rnacentral:rRNA from 1 species
UACGUAGGGUGCGAGCGUUAAUCGGAAUUACUGGGCGUAAAGCGUGCGCAGGCGGUUUCGUAAGUCAGAUGUGAAAGCCCCGGGCUUAACCUGGGAAUUGCGUUUGAAACUGCGAGGCUAGAGUGUGUCAGAGGGGGGUAGAAUUCCACGUGUAGCAGUGAAAUGCGUAGAGAUGUGGAGGAAUACCGAUGGCGAAGGCAGCCCCCUGGGAUAACACUGACGCUCAUGCACGAAAGCGUGGGGAGCAAACAGG